rnacentral:tRNA from 1 species
GCGGGGGUAGAUCAAAUAUAGAUCGUCUGGCUGUUAACCUGAAAGUGGGCGGGCUGUCCCUCCUCGCG